rnacentral:rRNA from 1 species
UACAGAGGGGGCGAGCGUUGUUCGGAAUUACUGGGCGUAAAGGGCGCGUAGGCGGCCUUCUAAGUCGAACGUGAAAUCCCCGGGCUCAACCCGGGAACUGCGUCCGAUACUGGGAGGCUUGAAUCCGGGAGAGGGAUGUGGAAUUCCAGGUGUAGCGGUGAAAUGCGUAGAUAUCUGGAGGAACACCGGUGGCGAAGGCGGCCAUCUGGCCCAUUUUUGACGCUGAGGCGCGAAAGCGUGGGGAGCAAACAGG